AUUGAACGCUAGCGGGAUGCUUUACACAUGCAAGUCGAACGAGUGGCGGCCGGGUGAGUAAUAUCUCGGAACGCGUCCAGUAGCGGGGGAUAACUACUCGCAAGAGUGGCUAAUACCGCCUCCUAUUGGAGCGGUCGAUAUCGGAUUAGCUAGUUGGUGGGGUAAAGGCUAACCAAGGCACACAUCCGUAGCUGGUUUGAGAGGACGACCAGCCACACUGUGACUGAGAUAAGGACCAGACUCCGACGGGAGGCAGCAGUUGGGAAUUUUGGAGAAUGGGGGAAACCCUGAUUCGGCCAUCCCGCGUGUAUGAGAAGGCCUUCGGGUUGUAAAGUACUUUUGGCAGAGAAGCGGUAUCUGCAGAAUAAGCACCGGCUAACUACGUGCCAGCCGCCGCGGUAAUUC
rnacentral:rRNA from 1 species